AAAGUGCGUAGGUCCUAAGCAUUAUACAUACUGUGUCCAAAAAUCAUAAUGGCCUAUUGGCUCUAUGUUGAGAAAAUUAGAAUCAUAAUCAAUGUACUGCUGAUAUGUUAAUUUUAACAGUAACAAUCCCUAAUACUCAUAGUAAAGAACAACAAAAAUUAUACACUAAAUAUUGAAUGGUAAUAGAGAAGCAUCCAGUAGCAAGCUGUUUCCAUUCUUUUUGCAUUCAUGUUGUGGGUCAUUCAUGUAAUUUUACUCGAUUUUGUUUUUCCAUCAUGAUCUGAGGUUUUGAAAUGAAUCUCGCUCAACAUGGAUUUGUAAUCCAUUGCAAACAUUAAUUUUUACACAUUGAAGCUGGCUCCUAUAUCCUCUAAGCAGACUUUCUGGCAAGAAAGAAAGGAAGAAAGGGAUGGAGGAGAAAGAAAAAGAAAGAAAGAAAGAAAGAAAGAAAGAGAGUAAGGGAGGAAGAAAGGAAGGAAGAAGAGAGAAAGAAAAAAGGAAGAGAAGGAAUAGGAAGAGAAAAACAAAAAAGAUAAUAAGAGGUUCCAUGAUGGCUCAGCCAGUAAAGGUGUUAUUGCUGUGGUCCUGGUCACUGCUGUGGUGUGGGUUCAAUCCCUGGCCCAGGAAAUUCCACAUGUUGCAGGUGCAGCUAAAAAAAAAAGGAAACGAUAACAAGCUGGCUACUACUUUUUUUUUUUUGUCCUUUUGCCAUUUCUUGGGCCACUCCUGCGGCAUAUGGAGGUUCCUAAGCUAGGGGUCGAAUCAGAGCUGUAGCCACCGGCUUACGCCAGAGCCACAGCAACGUGGGAUCCAAGCUGCGUCUGCAACCUAUACCACAGCUCACAGCAACGCUGGAUCCUUAACCCACUGAGCAAGGCCAGGGAUCGAACCCACAACCUCAUGGUUCCUAGUUGGAUUCAUUAACCACUGAGCCACGACGGGAACUCCAAAGCUGGCUACUAUUUAUUAAGCACGUACAGGUGUACUUCAUCCAGCAAUUUUGUUAAUUGCUUUGCCUGCAUCAUUGAGUUUAAUCUUCACUAGGAACUUGUGAGACUUAGAGCAGUUAUAUAAAUUGCCUAGAAUCAUACAACAGUUAAGUGGCAAAUGUAGAAUUCAAACCUUUGUCCUUUGACUUCAAAUCAGGUACAUAAUCACUUCAAUCUUCAAUCUUUCUUACAAAGAGAAACUAACUUAAUUUUUCUCUUUCACUGUGUUAUUUUUCUAUAAGAGGAAUUAUGAUAAUCUCCCACUACCUACUAAGAAAACACUGUUGUGACGGGAGAGGAAGCGGAUGAAGCUGGAGAGGUAGGCAGAGGCCAGUUCAUGGAGGACACCCACCAUGCUAAUGAGUUUAGAUUUCAUUCUAACAGCAAUGGGUCAUGGAAAGACUGUAAGCAGGAGUUAAAUCUUGAGAUUUGAGUUGCAGAACCAUCUUCCUGGUAGGAAGCUCUAUAAAGAGUUGACUAUGAUGGUACAAUCUGGAAACAAGGCAUCUGGCUCUAAUCCCGGUAAGAAAGUGACAACAUUCUCAUAAAGGCAGAUUCGGUGAUAAUGGACAAAGAGGGGCAAGGUGUUGGUAGUGUAAAAAGUGAAUUCAGUAGAACUUAGUGACUCAUUAGAUUUGGAGAGUGAGGCAAAAAUUAAGAGUCAAGAAGGACUAGCAGAUUCGCAAUUUGCGUGUCGAGGUAGAGAUGACAAUGCCAGCAGCAGAAAUAGGGACAAGAACAGAGACAUGCACUUGCUACAGAAGGCAGUCUUUUCGGUCCUCUAGCCUUUGUCCCUUCACUUCCUUUCGCAAUUUAUUCCCCAGACAUAUCUCCUCUUCCUGAAACUAUUCAAAGCCCUAUACACAUUCCAUCUUCCCCAGAAGGACCUGCUCUGAUUCCAUGAGCAAGUAGCAACGCUUACUUCUCUGAACCCCUAGUAAAUGUCUGGUACAAUUCACUUGGUAAGCAUCACACUCUGACUUGUAUAAGACUCAUCCAUGAACCUUUUGACAGUUUACAAAAUCUCCUAGGAGUGAAAUUAUAUCUAUUCUUUGCAUAUCUGUAUCCUCAAUUUAUAUACUUGAUACAUAAAUAAGCCCCAAAGAUUUUAACUAUGAAAAAUAAGGCAUGUGUUAGACAUUCUUUGAAGAAGGUAGCCUCUCCCACUCAAUUGGAAGCACUUUGAAAGCACGCAGCGCCUUGUACUAUUGUCUCAUAAGCUUUUACACACUGUUGUUUCCUAAGUCACAACUCAAUCGAGUGCUUAUCUCAAUGCUAAGUAUCAAGUGUGAGGACAAUUAAUAUGUAUAAACACACUCGAUGUGGAUGGCACCUCUACAUCUUUUUAUUCUUUAUCCAGUCCCUCUAUGAUAUUUAUCUUUUAAGGAUGGCAUCUUAGCAACGAACAUGAUCUCAGCAGAUUUUGUUUAUCUACAUGUAGUCAUAACCUCCUUCACUCAGAUGCACAGUUAUCUUCUUGCCAACCUCCUAUAGUCCUUGCAUUUGUAUAAAGACAUUUUAGUACUUUCAUUUUUUUUCUAUCUUUCAUCAUAUGCUACAAAAAAUGUAUCUUCUGCCUAAUUUUUUUUGAAAAGCUGCUAGUCUGCCAGUUUUGGCAGAGCAAACUAGGAAAUAGAGUCUGGCAACAAAAAGGCACCAAGCAGCAGAUGAACCUAAGGUUUGCAAAGUAGUGAUGCUCUUUGACCCGUUGUAUUGGGUGUGAAAUUAGAUCCUAUCAAUGUCACACUUACCCCCGGAGCAAAUGUCCCCUUGUGACAACUACAUGCUGUGCUUCAAGACAAAUGAUGGAAUAAAAUUUCCAACAAGUAAAAUCUCUCCAAAAGUAUCAGCAUAUUAUCAAUAGGCCUUUAGCUACUCCAAAAAUGUCUCCAGUAACCAGUGGCCACAACCAGCUUAAAAAGCAGAAGCUAUAGGAUAACUGCAAGUAAAACAAGUAUUCACUAGGGUGGGAGCAGAAACUUUCGAGGGUAUAGCAUAACACAGUGUAAAAUGGCAAUGCUAUUUUUGAAAGCAGGCAGGAACCACUCAGAUUAUAAUAGUAGAGAAUAUAAGUGACUAUAUCUCUCUUUUUUCCUUCCUUCCUUUCCUCUUCCUCAGAUUCAUUCAUUUAUUGCACAAUUCUUUGUUGAAUAUUUAUCAUCUCCAUGCCAGAAACUGUGUUUGGAACUGAAUGUUCAGUGGUGACCAAGUCAGAAAAAAAAUGAAGAAGAUUGGGAAAGGAUUGCUAUACAGAUCACAAAGCCAACAGAAACAAGGAAAUCCUCAAAACCUGUGCCAACCUCAGCUAGGUUCUGCACAUUAGCAAAUGGUACCUACUUAUGCAAAUUCCAUGGACUUACAUCCCUCUCUAUACGUAUAAAAGAAUAACCAGAGGCAGAGUAACUCCACUUUAGGAAAGUUAGCAAUAAGAGACCCCAUGCCUGUAGCUUUUACCUAAAAUCUUAAUUUUGGACUACUGAGGACUGGUCUUUAGAAUAUUUAGGAAGUUGCUAUUACUGUAAGAGUUUUAAUAGGAGCACAUUUCUCUUACAACAGGCACUUUAAAAUGAGAUAGACUGAACUCAGAGCGAGCUUCAGUUACAGUGGUUCGAUCAAGUAGGAAAAAUAGAAAAUGACCUAUUCUGCUUGCAAAGAAGGAGAUGUGGAUAUCGUAGGCGUGUGGGGGGUGGGAGCGGGGCGGUGUACACAGAUAUCAGUUAGAGAGUCUUGAACAGCAUCCUAAAAUCAUAUUUAUUGGAAAAAUAGUUCUAGAAUAUGCAAUGGUUAUCAAAAGAAAAAAGUUGUAUAAAUGUUCUUUAAAAGUGUAACAGGUAUUUACCACAAGACUUUCAGAGUCUUUAAAUGCCAAUGUUAUUAUGAACUUCUGAUAAAGAGGCAUAAAGAUGUUGCAUAUUCCACUCUCAAUAGACUAUAAUUUGAAAAUUGAUAAAAAGCAACUUGUACAUUUUAAAAACUGCAGUUCAGGGAGGUUAAUUAACUCAUCCAAAGCCACCGGCCAGCUCUUUGGGUCCUGAUCUGCUGCUCUUUCCACUACUUCGCAAUAGUCACCAAACUGCUAAAUGGUUCUCUAAUUUUGAUGACACGUCCUUCUCCUAUUUUCAUCUCUAUGCUUUAUCAAAAAGAAAAUCUAAUAUUUCCAUAUUUGCUUACUUUGGGAUGGCCCCAGCUCUAAAAGAAGAAAAAGACGUCUUGCAAUUCGAAGAAGCAGGGUGCUACACUCUAGGACUGAAGCCUCAAAUGCAAUUUUCCCUGAAUAAAAAUGUCAACGUAAAGCCUUCCACAUCAGGCUAACCUGGUGAGGCCCUUGGUGUCCUUUUACAGGCUUGUUUUGGAAAAAAUUAUUAGUACAAGUUGUACAUGCAUGUUAUGUGCAUGUGUGUGUGUAGUGCUGGCUUUUCUAUUGGCACACCUUGAUUCCAUCCCCUCAUGGCUGAUAUCAUUUCCAAGUGCUAUAGAUUGAUUCCAUUUAUUAAUUCAAUCAUUCAUUCAUUUACUAAUAUAUCCAACCGACAUUCGUUGAACCCCGACUCUCAUGCCUAGCCCACAGCCCCACUAUAUUCCUUCUCUGAGUGUAUGUAUUUACGUGGUAGGAAAUCUGAUUGAGAAAUGUCUUCCUAGAAUUCCAGAUUCUGUUUCCACCAACACCUACUCUGAUCUAACUGCUCAGGUAUGUUUGCUUUAAAGCUGAGAUCCACUCUAUAUGUCACUGCUUAGCAAAACAGGGAAGCUCUCUGUGAAGUUACUUCAUUGGCUUCCCAGAAAAAAAAUGGAGAGUGCCUCCCCUCACAGUAGUGGAGGGAGAUUUGUUCCAAAGGGUAGAAAUGAAAGACAAUCAGCACCUGUAGCUGAGUAAUGAAAACACAAUAAAGUGAAGAAAGUCUAAUCAAAGAAUCUGUGCUGGUAAUGACUUUGGAAAGUGGUUCCUCAAACCAGCUCCCUUGUGGAAUCUAGCCCAGUGAAAACUAGACUGACUGGAAGAAAACACCUCCAGCCCUUCGCUGACCUUCCACUUCACGCUGUUGUCCAGUCCUCAUUCCAUUAUCAGUCACGCCUCUCCUUUAUUCCAUGCUAUUCAUCCUUCUCUGAAAUCAUCUUUAUUUUUCUAUUUUUUCUUUGUCUCUUACUCUCCAGAAUUUACCUUGUUCAAGUGCAGAGAUUUUUUUUUUUACUUGUCUCGUUUCUUGUUUUAUACCCAGCAUAUAGAACUUUAUUGGCACAUAUCAGCCAAUCAAUAAUACUUGUUGGAUGGAUGAAGGCAAGAAAGAAUGCAUAAAGUGACUAAAAAACCUCUUUUACUGUCCUACCUCAUCCUAACCUGUAUAAUAACCUAAUUUUUUCUUGUAAUCCCCAUUUGAAUGGCUGAGCUAUUUAGCUGAAACUAAAUAGUCCAAAAUUACUUCAAAUUCCUCUGGAGCUUUACUAUAAAUUCUAAUGAAAUCAUACUUAUCACAUGCAAUUAGAUUUAAUUCAUGAAAGUAGGGCCAAACAAUUGUCUAGUCUGAAACACUGCCACUAGCAUCUUUCAAACAUCUU
rnacentral:lncRNA from 1 species